rnacentral:lncRNA from 1 species
UUUUUUAGUUUAUUUUAAUUUAGUUUAGGCACUAAAUCAUUUUGUAAAGAUAUGGAACUUUUUCUUGGCACUAACAAAAAUAUUUCGGAGGCCCUAGCCAAGUUUCAUAUUUAUUGGAGCUAUAAACUUAUUUAUAAUAUUUUAUAACUCCAAUUCAAACAUUUAUUAGUUUAACUCAAUAAUCAAAAAUGUCAUGUGAAAAUAUAAGUCACCUCUACUUGAUGUUGCCACAUUUUUCCAUGGAUGAUGAACAUUUUACAAGGCAAAUUUGGAUUCUUGGAAAAAUAUUUUAGCUGAACCUAUUUUGAUUCAAAUAGUGCUAGGGUUUUGAUCAACCCCAUUUCAGGUUUAAAGAAACCAAGGGUUGUGAGAACUAACCGCCACUAGAAAGAAUCUUGUCACGUGAUUGAGGAGUCGUCAGAAAGAUGGUGGGGUACUCAAGUCGAAGAUGAUCUUCUCGCUCC